UGCAUCUGUAUCAAAUCACGUGAUUCGACUAUGAAUGGCAAUGGCUGUAAAUAACUAAAAAUAUGCUUCUUUAAUUUUCUGGAUUUUUCAUUACGUUUCAUAUCGAUGGCAGAUUCUCAUUCAAGGACCCUCUGGGGCAGACAGCCAGCUCGUGCCUUACUGAUUGAUGCAAGUUCCCCAUUUGAUGAUGUCUUGUGUGACAUCAUUUGUGAAGCCUUGGAGAAUCUCUUUUCUCUUGCCUGCAAUAUAGCCGGACCAUCUCAGAUCCCAUACAUUAGUAUCUUCCUUCUCACAGAUGUAGUGGAGUGCAUACUUCCAUUAUCGUAUGUGAAGUCGAACUUGGUGCGAAUCCAGAAUGCCUUGAGUCAUUUAAAAAAGUCUGUCGGUGAUAUGAGUCGGCCUCCUAGACGUGAUGAUGUGUCUUUUAGUUUGGGUGUUCAUGCUGCCAGUGAACAAUACAGAAGACAACAAAACACUAUUUCACAGGUUGGUACAAACUUCAGCCAGUUGGAGAUUUUCGUGCUUACCUGUCAGAGGUCCCGCUUCGUGCAGCAGCAGUUGGAAUCAGUCCUAAUGUCUAUGGAGGUCCAACACCUCAAGCGCAUUGUUGGUGUAACCAUCACUUCGGUGUCAGUGGACGAAGCAUUGGAUGGGUUAGAACCGAGUCCCGUCAGUUUGGAAUCUACACACACUGCUUGCAGUCCUCUUGGUGAGCUUGUCGAUUCAGUGGCACUUGAUGCUGAUCUGUUGAGUCUACAAAACUUUUUUCACAGUUGGUUGAUGGAUUCUGGGGGAGACAGUGAAUAUCUUCAUAUCAUCCUACCUCCUGCAACACCAGAUGAGGACAACGUUGUUAUUAAAUGUGACAUGCAGGAAAGGCUUGUUAAUCCAGCUCAGCUGCCUUGCAGUGAAGCUUUUACACUUCACCCCCGGUCAGCAUCAUGUAAGACUGUGUUUCCCAGCAACAGUAAGGCUGUUGGCAUGGUCGUCCCAUUACACCGCAUUAAGAUAAGCGCAAUGAUCCCAUUUUCAUCUCUGUGUGAAUCGGUCAUAUUUGGAAUGCCAAUGGUUGUUACUCCUACUAAAUGCUGGAAAGUAGACUGGGAUGAACUGGAGAAAAAUGAACAGCUGUUUAAAGCUCUUUGUCAUCAACUCAUAAAAAAGGGUUUUGUGAUGUUGGGACAACUUGAGGACCUUGAUGUGCCGAAGCCAACCCCAAGGAGACAGAGGGCUUUGACCAUUACCCCUCCAUCCCCACAGGGCUAUUUCGUUCUGUUGCCAGCACCAAACAUGUCCUUGCUCAUUAAGUCUGUGGCAGUGAAAGAGUUGAUGCUACCUUGUAGCACGUGCAGCUCAGUAGAUAUGGAUGAACCCAGUGAAGAGAAUGUGCAUAUCCUACAGGCUAUCAUGAACAAGACGUGAGGAGAAUGGAGAAGACAGCGCGUGUAAGAAGAAUGAAUGUCCUAGGCAGGAAAUUGUAGUGUGAACCUCAAGUCCCAGACAGGAUUGCAAGAUGACCAUUAACCUUGAACCCCAGUCCCGGACAGACAGACUGUAUGCGUGUAGGUGUAUGUAGUUGGUGUACAUUGUUAUGCCACAGAUAGACUGUACCAUAGGAGGGCAUAAGCAUAUGAGAUGGAGUUGAGGAGUGCAGGAGGGGCAGCUGCCCCUUCAUCUUUGAGUAAAUAUACAUAUUAAUUCAUGCAAACACUGCAGACAUUUGAACAAAAUUAAGGCCUGAACACUUUUCACCAUGUACAUGCAUAUUUCCGUCAUUCUCUUAUGGUGAAUUUUAUUUGUAGAAUGUAUGGAAUUGCAUUUCUAGUUGAAACUCACACACUGAUUCUCAGUUAGUUGAAUUCUGCCAUGACUGAUUAUAAAUAUGAGAGUAGGCACAGAUCCAUAGGAGUACAUUUUAAGUCAGUAAGCAUGUGUGUGUGUGUGAGAGUGGGGUGGUGUUGACCAGCAUGCAUGUAACUGGACCAAGCAAGUUGCUCCUUCAAAUUACAUACAUUCCUGUUUUGGACAUUAAUAUUUAUGAGUUGUAAUCAUUGUUAAAAUGCAUAGUGAUUUUUUUGCAACGUACAUUCCCUAUAUAACUGUUUGGUAGUAAUGCAAAUGAGAAUAAAUGUCAUUAUUGAGAUUUGGGCAUUUUUAUUUACA